AUGAGCGCUGGCGGCGUGCUUAACACAUGCAAGUCGAACGGAAAGGCCCAAGCUUGCUUGGGUACUCGAGUGGCGAACGGGUGAGUAACACGUGGGUGAUCUGCCCUGCACUUCGGGAUAAGCCUGGGAAACUGGGUCUAAUACCGGAUAGGACCACUUCUUGGAUGUUGUGGUGGAAAGUUUUUUCGGUGUGGGAUGAGCUCGCGGCCUAUCAGCUUGUUGGUGGGGUAAUGGCCUACCAAGGCGUCGACGGGUAGCCGGCCUGAGAGGGUGUACGGCCACAUUGGGACUGAGAUACGGCCCAGACUCCUACGGGAGGCAGCAGUGGGGAAUAUUGCACAAUGGGCGCAAGCCUGAUGCAGCGACGCCGCGUGGGGGAUGACGGCCUUCGGGUUGUAAACUCCCUUCGCUAGGGACGAAGCGUUUUGUGACGGUACCUGGAGAAGAAGCACCGGCUAACUACGUG
rnacentral:rRNA from 1 species